rnacentral:rRNA from 1 species
UAUCUCUGUAGAGUCUGCAUAUCAAUAAGCGGAGGAAAAGAAACUAACUAGGAUUCCCUCAGUAACGGCGAGUGAAGCGGGAAGAGCUCAAAUUUGAAAUCUUCAAGGUUCUACCUUGACGAAUUGUAGUUUAAAGAAGUGUUUUCUGUUAGAGAGUAGGUAAAAGUUCUUUGGAAUAGGACAUCAUAGAGGGUGAGAAUCCCGUAUUUGACUAUUCUUUCUAGCUUUGUGAUACACUCUCAAAGAGUCGGAUUGUUUGGGAAUGCAGUCCAAAAUGGGUGGUAAAUUUCAUCUAAAGCUAAAUAUUGGCGAGAGACCGAUAGCGAACAAGUACCGUGAGGGAAAGAUGAAAAGAACUUUGAAAAGAGAGUUAAACAGUACGUGAAAUUGUCAAAAGGGAAGCGUUUGACACCAGUGUUGUUUAGUUGAAAAUCAAUUCAAUAGUUUUUGAUUCUAAGUAGUAUUGACUUCAUCAGCUUGCUGCUUUCUUCUCAGAAAUUAUUGAAUGCACUUUUCAGUUAACAAGUCAACAUCAAUUUCUUUUGUUGUAAAAGGGUAAGAGGAAGGUGGCUUGCGCUUCGGCUCAAGUGUUUAUAGCCUUUUAUCUCUGCAAUCGGAGAGAUUGAGGUCUGCAGCGUAGAUCCUUCGGGGUUAGAUACAUUGGUGCUAAGCUAUAGCCUUGUAUAGACAACUUGUUGACUAUGCUCAGUCAUGUAGCUUACUCGCUUGUGCUAUUUUACCUACGCUUAGGAUGUUGAGCGCAUGUCUCUCUCU